CAUAAUCUGAAAGGAAGUACAAGGUUUUUGUUGGGGAGUCCGUCUCAGAGCAGAGACAUCAAAUUCUGAUGAUAAUGAGUGCCACACCCAUUUCUUCCCAUUGCUCUGUUAGGAGCAGAGCAUGAGGUCGGGGAGGGCACCUCUGCUAAAACCUUGUCCGUCGGUGCAUCCUCCAAAGCGGGACAGAGACUUUGCCAGAUUAGAAAGCAGAAAAAGAAGACUCGUGAGGACAUGUUCAAUGAGUUAAUGCGCGCCUCUGAGAGCAACAAGAUGGAGCUCAGUGCAUGGAGAAUUGCACUGUCCGACAGCCUGCACAAUGUUCGAGAGGACAGGAGAGCAUGCAGGGAACAUGAGCAUGACACACAGGAUGAGAUGGUGCGGAUUAUGAGGGAGCAAACAGACGUGUUGAGGUUCAAGAAAGGCAGCUGGACGCUAGAGUCCUGCUGCAGCCUAUGCUGAACCUGCUGCCAUUAUCACCAAGUUCCACAUCCUCCUCUCCCAGACAUCCUAGGAUGCGUGAGGGAAAGUCAGGUAUCUCUUGCAUUCAACUCCAGGGAAGGGUACACCUUUGAUUGCUAUUGCAGUGCAAUUGUAAGCAAGCUGUCCUUGUUUCUCCCCUAGCCCCCACUGUUAUCUUACAAUGUUAUCAGCCCCUUAUCCCUGGUUAUUACUCUUUUUUGCUG